rnacentral:tRNA from 1 species
GCCCGGGUGGCGGAACUGGUAGACGCGCACGCUUGAGGGGCGUGUGGCCGCAAGGCCGUGGGAGUUCAAGUCUCCCCUCGGGCA